rnacentral:rRNA from 1 species
GGGGAAUAUUGGACAAUGGGCGCAAGCCUGAUCCAACCAUGCCGCGUGAGUGAUGAAGGCCUUAGGGUUGUAAAGCUCUUUCGUCAGGGAAGAUAAUGACGGUACCUGAAGAAGAAGCCCCGGCUAACUUCGUGCCAGCAGCCGCGGUAAUACGAAGGGGGCUAGCGUUGCUCGGAAUCACUGGGCGUAAAGCGCACGUAGGCGGCUUUCUAAGUCAGGGGUGAAAUCCCGGAGCUCAACUCCGGAACUGCCUUUGAUACUGGAAAGCUUGAGUUCGGGAGAGGUGAGUGGAACUGCGAGUGUAGAGGUGAAAUUCGUAGAUAUUCGCAAGAACACCAGUGGCGAAGGCGGCUCACUGGCCCGAUACUGACGCUGAGGUGCGAAAGCGUGGGGAGCAAACA